AAGAAAACAUGAAGCUUGUGGAAGGUAAUGUAUUUCACAACUGCAAGGGACAACCACAUCUAGCUUUAUUAUUACAUUUUCAAAAGAAAAGUAAUUCAUUUUUUAAAAAAUUUGUCAACCACAAUUUUUUUUCAUUCUUAACUCCAUGUAUUGUCUUAACUUGUCUCUUUUGAUGUCAACUUCUAAAUAACUCAUACAGGCAAAGUUGCUGAGGUGCUUUUGAAAUUAUUCCAGGAUGUUGCUCAAAAUAUUGAAAGUCUAAGAAGGUAACAGACAAUCCUUCCAGUCAGAAUCGUAAUAAAAGACCAAAAUUCCAUCUUCAAACAUUUAAAGAAAUCAUUGAUACAAGGUCUCUUCCUCUUUCAUACAAGCAUCUGGAUAGCAACCCAAAGUAUCCAAAUCCAGCCAUUUUAUGUGACUGUAGCAACUGUGCUGUAACUCAAGACACAUGAGAUCAAUAUUUGUAAGACUAGCUUGCUGCCACACUUUUCACCGAGAAUGUUACUUUCGAAACAACUCUCACUGUCCAAUCUGUCCUAAGCCUCUCUUAAAGAAAGUAGCUGUGCUGGCUGAUGCUUUGAAUGAGAGCUUACUAACACCUACUAAAUCGUCGUCAUCAACUAUCAAUACAGAAUCACCCAACUUAACCUCUGAACAACCUGACACAGAAUUAACUCCUAACAAUUCAAGACAACCUAUUUUCUAUGAAUCGGAUGAAUGGGAAAAGUUUGUAGUUCAUGUUUUAGCUAAUAUCACUGUCCCUCAACCAAGGACAACAACAAGAAUUUCAACAGCAACCUCCACAACAGCCACAAUGCCAAGAUCAAGAAGUCCAUCACCCAGCACAACAAUUAACUCAAAACAUCAACAUAACAUCGGUGAACAUUGCAGGAAGCAAAUUUCUUUUUUUUCCACAGGCUACAAUGAAUGGCAGGAAAGGCUCAAACGCGUGCACUUUCAUUACGUUAUACUUGGCAAAAAGUUAUCAAGUAAACAUAGGACACCUACCAGCUCCAACACAAAUUUCGCCUCUGUGGGCUGCAGUUAUGAUGUCCUGCAUCAUUCAGGGAAAUGCCAAACAUGACACUUUGACUGGAGGUAGAGCAAUUAAUUUUGCUGUAGAUGAGGCAGUCCAGCAAGUUAGACAAAGCUUGGGAUAAAUUCAAAUUUAAGAUUCCCUUGACAUCACAUUAACCUGUGAAAAUACAGAUGUACCCCAGUCAUCAGCAGCAUUUUACCUUCAACGUUUAACUCAGGAAGCUAAUCUGUCUGCAAUUCUCAUUAUUACCGAUGUGACAAUUUGUUUUGUUGCACGUGGUGCAAACAUUGUGAUGUUCGACAGCCACUUGCAUGGUAAUUUUGGAGCUUUUCUUGCCAGUACAACUGUUGAAAACACCGAGAAUUUCUUGAAGGAAGUGAAAGAGAUGAUAAGCCCAAACUACAACAUGUGCUCCUUAACAUUUGCUAAGUUUGCUUAAUUUUUAGUAAGCUUAAAGUUUAUUUAAAAGGCUUAUUUCAUAAAAUUAAUGACUAUUGUCGACAGACUUAGUUUGUCCUUAAUACAGACCUUAAUUCUAAGCGAGAAAAUGUGAGUUUAUAUAUUAGAUGUAAAAAGUUA